GAGAAGAACGUAGCGAAAUGCGAUAAGUAGUGUGAAUUGCAGAAUUCAGUGAAUCAUCGAAUCUUUGAACGCACAUUGCGCCCCUUGGUAUCCCGAGGGGCAUGCCUGUUCGAGCGUCAUUUCACCACUCAAGCCUGGCUUGGUGUUGGGCGACGUCCCCUUUGGGGACGCGCCUCGAAACGCUCGGCGGCGUGGCACCGGCUUUAAGCGUAGCAGAAUCUUUCGCUUUGGAAGUCGGGGCCCCGUCUGCCGGAAGACCUACUCGCAAGGUUGACCUCGGAUCAGGCAGGGAUACCCGCUGAACUUAAGCAUAUCAAUAAGCGUAGGA
rnacentral:misc_RNA from 1 species